UAAAGCUGGGAUUUCUCACUGAGAUUGCAUAAAGUGGUGGAUAAAUCAGGUUUUAAUAGGCUUUCCUGUUGCGCAAGUUAUUUUGGCAUUGUUUUCUGAGGUGUCUCCAUUUGGCUACAUCAGCACAGCCUGGUGCUCUUAGUUUGCACUUAAUACUGUUUUUAUGUGCCGUUAUCUUGCGUUCCACUGAGAUUUUUUUUCUCUCAAAUAUGACCUUGCAUUUUUUAAUCAGGUAACAAUGACAAGUACCCUGGGAAAAUCAGAUGAAAAUAAAAAUAAACGUAAAAAGGAAGCAAAGAAUGAAGCUUCAGGAAAUGCACAGUUGUGUUUCUUUGAAAAAAAUGAUCCAACUCUUUCUGAAAGCCCCCAGAAAUUUCACAAAACUGAUACUUUGGAAACAAUUUUAAAGGAUAUGGGCAAAGAAAUCAAUGCUCUGUUAUCAAAGUAUGCACAUAUUUUGAGGCAAGUAAAUUAUUUUAUUUUUGACAUUUUAAAUUUUCUUUUUUGAAAACCUAUUCAGCUGCUGAUGUUUCUAAUGUUUCCAAAAUUGUGUUUUAAUCAUUUUUAUCCAUUGAAAAGCAAAAACAAAUGAACUGUUUGCUUUGCACAUUGUCACAAAAUGCUUUCAGCUAGAAAAACUGAGAUUUAAAAUACAUGGCAGGAUCCAAAAUUCUUCAGUCUAUUUCUUCUGAACCAGCCUGUACUCUUAACUGUGCACAUUGCAAUGGUGAAAUUCAAGUUGAAAACUGAAUUGAACUGAAUUGAAAACAUUGAUAGAAAUGUUAGUUUUCUAUCUAGCAGUUUUAACUACAGGUGUUUAUUUUCUUCCUUUUUGUGAAUAAAGUGAGAGAGCAGCAAUGGAUGCUUCAUAUGUAGAGGAGCUGGAAGAAAUCCUGAAAGAAGCUUGUUCUAUAGAACAUCACUUGAAGUUGAAAAGAGAGAAUCUAAGGCACAGUUUUGCAGCAAUUGCGGGCCCUCUGCAAAAUGAAGAGGGAUUAUCUGGCAAAUGAUUAAGGCAUACACUUA